GUGAGGAAUAUUGGUCAAUGGGCGGGAGCCUGAACCAGCCAAGUCGCGUGAAGGAAGAAGGAUCUAUGGUUCGUAAACUUCUUUUGCAGGGGAAUAAAGUGCAGGACGUGUCCUGUUUUGUAUGUACCCUGAGAAUAAGGAUCGGCUAACUCCGUGCCAGCAGCCGCGGUAAUACGGAGGAUCCGAGCGUUAUCCGGAUUUAUUGGGUUUAAAGGGUGCGUAGGUGGUUUGAUAAGUCAGCGGUGAAAGUUUGCAGCUUAACUGUAAAAAUGCCGUUGAAACUGGCGGACUUGAGUGUAAAUGAGGUAGGCGGAAUGCGUGGUGUAGCGGUGAAAUGCAUAGAUAUCACGCAGAACUCCGAUUGCGAAGGCAGCUUACUAAGCUACAACUGACACUGAAGCACGAAAGCGUGGGGAUCAAACAGGAUUAGAAACCCGGGUAGUCC
rnacentral:rRNA from 1 species